rnacentral:rRNA from 1 species
AGUGAACGCUGGCGGUAGGCCUAACACAUGCAAGUCGAACGGCAGCACAGUAAGAGCUUGCUCUUACGGGUGGCGAGUGGCGGACGGGUGAGGAAUACAUCGGAAUCUACUUUUUCGUGGGGGAUAACGUAGGGAAACUUACGCUAAUACCGCAUACGACCUACGGGUGAAAGCAGGGGAUCUUCGGACCUUGCGCGAUUGAAUGAGCCGAUGUCGGAUUAGCUAGUUGGCGGGGUAAAGGCCCACCAAGGCGACGAUCCGUAGCUGGUCUGAGAGGAUGAUCAGCCACACCGGAACUGAGACACGGUCCAGACUCCUACGGGAGGCAGCAGUGGGGAAUAUUGGACAAUGGGCGCAAGCCUGAUCCAGCCAUACCGCGUGGGUGAAGAAGGCCUUCGGGUUGUAAGGCCCUUUUGUUGGGAAAGAAAAGCAGCAGGUUAAUACCCCGCUGUUCUGACGGUACCCAAAGAAUAAGCACCGGCUAACUUCGUG